AGACUGCAUUUUGCCUUGCUUUUCCUUCUCCCUUUCUCUCUCUUUCUUUCUUUCUUUCUUUCUUUCUUUCUUUCUUUCUUUCUUUCUUUCUUUCUUUCUUUCUUUCUUUCUUUUUCUUUCUCUCUCUCUCUCUCUUUCUUUCUUUCCUUUCUUUUCUUUCUUUCCUCUUUCUCUUUCCUUCUUUCUUUUUUUCUUCUUUCUUUCCUUCCUUCCUUCCAUCUUUCUUUUCUUUCUUUCCAUUUUUUUUUUCCUCCAGAAGAAUGGAAACAGUAUUCUUUUCCGAUCAGUUCAGUAAUACAAUGUCCUUCAGUGUCCAUAUGAGCAUUUCAGUGGAGAAGAAAAGAAACUUUGCUACCUGGGAACUGAAGACUACUUAGUGAAGAUCCCGGUGUUACACAUCCAAUCGUUCACCUCCUUCCAAGACUAUGACAUUCCAGGAAACCUUCACUGCUAAGAGGAACUAAGAUCUAGAGUAUCUCCUCGAGGAAGUACAACUGUCUGUUUUCACUAAGGUGGGGAGCAGUAUGUGUCCAGAGCUCUAGAGGGACCGAAAGGCCAAGUGUCCACGGUGGCAAGAGAAUCCAGGAGACUGGACCAUCAAGUCUUUUACUCAGAGACUGGAGACCACGCCUUACCUCUCGGAACAGCCCUGUGUGAACCUCCGACUUUAUGAUACGUUGUGAUUGUGAUACAGGACUUCCCAUGCAGCGCGUAAGCCAUGCAGGCUUAUUACUCACACCACACUCACCUGGACCCAGAGACCUCCAGGCACUGAGGACUGCGUCUCCCGGAAGUAUUUCCCUGAGAAAUUGCAGAGGACCUCAGUCCUGCAACUCACACAGAGGCUGUUCUUCGUGGCCGGAACCGGACCCCACGCCCUCUGGGGCACAUCCCUGAGUGCGAGCACUCUUCUCUCGCCCUCCUCCCACCCAGGCACCGUCCCAACUGGGCACUGCCUUGCUAUGCCCCACAUCUCCCACAAGGGGGAGCCGCCGGAGGGCAGCUGGGGCUGCGGAAUUUUGGAAGCGCAGAAGUUUUCUCCUCCUGUCCUGUAACUGGUUUUCACUCACUCAACUGAGAGAUUUCUUUGUUGCAAUGAUGGGGUCUAAGAUAACACUUCUGGAGGCUGCAGGCGAGAAACACAGCUGAUAUCAUCUUUUAUUGUGUGUUGUUAUUUGCCUAGCAUUAUAAAUUAAGGAGGAAUAGUAACAAAGAGCUUGAAGACAUGCACAGCUCACAGGCCCCGGGUGGAGGCUGGCGACAUCAGACAGACAGAACCAAGACAUCUGAGGGGCAACCAGGAGGUGCGUGUGGCUGCAGAGCACACAGACUUGUCUUUGGACAAAAUUGAGAAGAACUCAUAAACUUGGCUUCCUCGCUUCUGCUCCUCAGACGCGCGUGGAUGAUUUGAAGAUAUUAGCCUAACAAGAUGGAAGCAGGUUUAAAAUUUUACAUAAGAAGUUACCUUUUUCAGGCAGUACAUACAGCUUCGCUGAGGUCUGUGUGUCAAACUUACUGAGAGGAGGACAUCGUGGAGACUUAUCGUUAAUUAGCAAUGCUUAUGCAUGCAAACCUUGGUCAGAUGAUGUUGUGUUUGGAGAAAAGAGAGAAGAGAAUUGAAUAAGUACAUGACCCCUUGGAAGCUGUUUUCAGUUGAGGAUUUUG
rnacentral:lncRNA from 10 species